AUAGUGGUCUACCAGAGAGGGCACAUGUGCCUCAAUUGGCCUAUAGCAUAGUGGCUCAUUAUCCUUCCACCGCUGGUGGCGGGCGGUACUCGCUGCUCUGUGAAGCCAGCCUCACGCAAUGUCCGCCACUUUAGGUGUUGGGAUGCAAAGGCUUUCGCCAAGGCAUCCGAAACCCACUACACAACUUGGAAUGGGUGGUCCACAAUUUGUAGCACUAGACCCAUACACAUGCACCACAAUUGAUAUCCACACUACCUUAUUGCCCCCGCUCGGGUUACAAGCAAUCGCUACUUGCUCAGCGAGUGAGGGGGUUCAGGACUACCUAUUUAAGGUGGUGUUGUACUCUAUGAGCCGGCGAUGUGGUAUUUACCAACUACAAAUAGUGUCAUGCAUGUGACUUGCUAGUUGACAAAGUCUGUUGUCGAGCUAGAUGUAGGCUAUGGAUGAAGCACAUUACGAUAUAGUAGGCCUAUUUUGUUUUUUGUUGUUUUUGGGCCACUAUGGACUUUAUGUUGAUGUUGUGAAAUUUUUUCUUGUGUUUCCUCUUCCUACGAUGUCGAAAGUGGGUGCGUCAGAGAAGAAAGAAAGUGUGGGUUGCAUUGAUUUUACGUCAUACCAUUGAGAACACUAAUCAGAACCAGAAGCAACAAUAUUUCAUACAUAUACAACACUUGUAAUCCAUAUAAACAACUUUCCUUUAAAAUAUCAUAUAAACCACAUGAUUUAUAUCCUGGGUCGGUUAUCUCCACAAAGGGCAAGAAAACGCUCCAAGUUUGUAGUAUAGAACUAAAAGUGUCGACUCUCACGAUUUCUUCCCGACAUAUGCAAACUAGACAAUAAUCACAUAAAAUAAAGAAAUAUGUGUUAACACAAACUUAUAGCAUGUAUUUCAACAUAUAGAUUUUUUAUUAUUAUGGUAGAUUAUAUAAUAUAGGGGUUCCCGAAGAAAUACAUAAAAAACAAGAGCAUUAAAAUUUCCUUUUCAGAUCUGGCUAACUGGUAAAGGGAGUUGGAGUAUCUGAGUUUCCAAAUUUGGGACGUCGCUCUAUAGAAGGAAUAUAAAUACAUUGGAAAAAAAUUCUACAAGGAAAGGUUUAAUACAAGUAGGGCUAAGAAAAACUCAAUGAGGCUUUGGUCGCAUGGUCACAAGACUUGAGACAAGAAACACGAAGACACCAAGGUAAUUAGUAUGAGAGUUUUCCAAAUUUGGUGUCUUGAUGUAGAAAAAAUAAAUAUAUGACAAACAUGUAUUUUCGCAAGGCAUGGUAAAAUAAGUGGGAGUGAGCAAUAAAUUUCAUCCUAGAUUUAGAAGGAACAAAUAUAUCACUAAAUACAUUUUUUCACAAUGCCAAGUUAACCAGGCGGGACCGAGAAACAAUUCUAGCAAGGCUAGGUUGUACUAGUCCGAAACUACGUACAACAAAGGAAAAAUGAAGAAAAUGAUGGUCUACCAAAUAUGGCGCAUGAGCCUUAAGGUGCACCUAGAGGGAAGUAGAAGAAAUAAAUAUAUAAUAGGAUAUGUUUUUCGCAAUGCAAGGUAAAAUGUAGAUGUGCUCUAACUGGGCUUAGAUUGCAGCGAUACAUUAUGCAUCCACAAGGCUUGGUUGCACAUGGAAAAAGAUAGAGAGAGAAAUGUAGACGUAGGACCAGGAGAAAAACAUUCAAUGAUACAUUAUUGCACGGACAUAGAACUAGAUAUAAGACAAGAGUUAAAGAAACAUAAAGGAACUAAAUUUUCUUUUGCAUACUAAGCAUGAAUGGAGUUGUAGUAUCUGAUAUAAAAAAUUAAUUUAUUCCAAGAUGCAGAACAAAAUUGUGAUACUCGUAAUGGUUACAUAGGAACAAAAGUAGAUAAGAAAAAUAGCAAAACGAUAGUAGUCUACCAGAGAGGGCACAUGUGCCUCAAUUGGCCUAUAGCAUAGCGGCUCAUUAUCCUUCCACCGCUGGUGGCGUGCGGUACUCGCUGCUCUGUGAAGCCAGCCUCACGCAAUGUCUGCCACUUUAGGUGUUGGGAUGCAAAGGCUUUCGCCAAGGCACCCGAAACCCACUACACAACUUGGAAUGGGUGGUCCACAGUUUGUAGCACUAGACCUAGGCACAUGCACCACAAUUGACAUCCACACUACCUUAUUGCCCCCGCUCGGGUUACAAGCAAUCGCUACAUGCUCAGCGAGUGAGGGGGUUCAGGACUACCUAUUUAAGAUGGUGUUGUACUCUAUGAGCCGGCGGUGUGGUAUUUACCAACUACAAAUAGUGUCAUGCAUGUGACUUGCUAGUUGACAAAGUCUGUUGUCGAGCUAGAUAUGGGCUAUGGCUGAAGCACAUUAGGAUAUAGUAGGCCUAUUUUUGUUUUUGUUGUUUUUGGGCCACUAUGGACUUUAUGUUGGUGUUGUAAAAUUUUUUCUUGUGUUUCCUCUUCCUAUGAAGUGGAAAGUGGCUGCGUCAUAGAAGAAAGAAAGAGUGGCAAGCAUUGAUUUUACGUCAUCCCAUUGAGACCAGUAACCAAAAGCAGAAGCAACAAUAUUUCAUACAUAUACAACAAUUGUAAUCCAUAUAAACAACUUUCCUUUAAAAUAUAAUAUAAACCACAUGCUUUAUAUCCUGGGUCGGAUAUCCCCAUAAUAGGAUAUGUUUUUUGCAAUGCAAGGUAAAGUGUAGAUGUGCUCUAACUGGGCUUAGAUUGCAGCGACACGUUAUGCAUCCACAAGGCUUGGUUGCACAUGGAAAAAGAUAGAGAGAGAAAUGUAGACACAGGACGAGGAGAAAAACAUUCAACGAGACGUGAUUGCACGGAUAUAGAACUAGAUAUAAGACAAGAGUUAAAUACAAAUAAAUGAACUAAAUUUUCUUUUGCACACUAAGCUUGAAUGGAGUUGUAGUAUCUCAUAUCAAAAUUUAAUUUAUUCCAAGAUACAGAACAAAAAUGUGAUACUCCUAAUGGUUACAUAGGAACAAAAGUAGAUAAGAAAAUUAGCAAAAAGAUAGUGGUCUACCAGAGAGGGCACAUGUGCCUCAAUUGGCCUAUAGCAUAGCGGCUCAUUAUCCUUCCACCGCUGGUGGCGGGCGGUACUCGCUGCUCUGUGAAGCCAGCCUCACGCAGUGUCCGCCACUUUAGGUGUUGGGAUGCAAAGGCUUUCGCCAACGCACCCGAAACCCACUACACAAGUUGGAAUGGGUGGUCCACAGUUUGUAGCACUAGACCCAGGCACAUGCACCACAAUUGACAUCCACACUACCUUAUUGCCCCCGCUCGGGUUACAAGCAAUCGCUACUUGCUCAGCGAGUGAGGGGGUUCAGGACUACCUAUUUAUGGUGGUGUUGUACUCUAUGAGCCGGCGGUGUGGUAUUUACCAACUACAAAUAGUGUCAUGCAUGUGACUUGCUAGUUGACAAAGUCUGUUGUCGAGCUAGAUGUGGGCUAUGGAUGAAGCACAUUACGAUAUAGUAGGCCUAUUUUGUUUUUUGUUGUUUUUGGGCCAAUAUGGACUUUAUGUUGAUGUUGUGAAAUUUUUUCUUGUGUUUUCUCUUCCUACGAUGUGGAAAGUGGGUGCGUCAGAGAAGAAAGAAAGAGUGGCUAGAAUUGAUUUUACGUCAUACCAUUGAGAACACUACUCAGAAGCAGAAGCAACAAUAUUUCAUACAUAUACAACACUUGUAAUCCAUAUAAACAACUUUCCUUUAAAAUAUAAUAUAAACCACAUGAUUUAUAUCCUGGGUCGGCUAUCUCCACAAAGGGCAAGAAAACGCUCCUAAGUUUGUAGUAUAGAACUAAGAGUAUCGACUCUCACGAUUUCUUCCCGACAUAUGCAAACUAGACAGUAAUAACAUAAAAUAAAGAAAUAUGUGUUAACAUGAACUUAUCACAUGUAUUUCAACAUAUAGAUUGUUGAUUAUUAUGGUAGAUUAUAUAAUAUAGGGGUUCCCGAAGAAAUACAUAAAAAACAAGAGCAUUAAAAUUUCCUUUUCAGAUUUGGCUAACUGGUAAAGGGAGUUGGAGUAUCUGAGUUUCCAAAUUUGGGACGUCGCUCUAUAGAAGGAAUAUAAAUACGUUGGAAAAAUUCUACAAGGAAAGGUUUAAUACAAGUAGGGCUAAGAAAAACUCAAUGAGGCUUUGGUCGCAUGGUCACAAGACUUGAGACAAGAAACACAAAGACACCAAAGUAAUUAGUAUGAGAGUUUUCCAAGUUUGGUGUCUUGAUGUAGAAAAAAUAAAUAUAUGACAAACAUGUUUUUUCGCAAGGCAUGGUAAAGUAAGUGGGAGUGAGCAAUAAAUUUCAUCCUAGAUUUAGAAGGAACAAAUAUAUCACUAAAUACGUUUUUUCACAAUGCCAAGUUAACCAGGCGGGACCGAUAAACAAUUCUAGCAAGACUAGGUUGUACUAGCCAGAAACUACAUACAACAAAGGAAAAAUGAAGAAAAUGAUGGUCUACCAGAUAUGGCGCAUGAGCCUUAAGGUGCACCUAGAGGGAAGUAGAAGAAAUAAAUAUAUAAUAGGAUAUGUUUUUCGCAAUGCAAGGUAAAGUGUAGAUGUGCUCUAACUGGGCUAAGAUUGCAGCGAUACAUUAUGCAUCCACAAGGUUGGCACAUGGAAAAAGAUAGAGAGAGAAAUGUAGACGUAGGACCAGGAGAAGAACAUUCAAUGAGACAUGAUUGCACGGACAUAGAACUAGAUAUAAGACAAGAGUUAAAGAAAAAUAAAGGAACUAAAUUUUCUUUUGCACACUAAGUAUGAAUGGAGUUGUAGUAUCUGAUAUCAAAAAUUAAUUUAUUUCAAGAUGCAGAACAAAAUUGUGAUACUCGUAAUGGUUACAUAGGAACAAAAGUAGAUAAGAAAAAUAGCAAAAAGAUAGUGGUCUACCAGAGAGGGCACAUGUGCCUCAAUUGGCCUAUAGCAUAGCGGCUCAUUAUCCUUCCACCGCUGGUGGCGGGCGAUACACGCUGCUCUAUGAAGCCAGCCUCACGAAAUGUCCGCCACUUUAGGUCUUGGGAUGCAAAGGCUUUCGCCAAGGCACCCGAAACCCACUACACAACUUGGAAUGGGUGGUCCACAGUUUGUAGCACUAGACCCAGGCACAUGCACCACAAUUGACAUCCACACUACCUUAUUGCCCCCGCUCGGGUUACAAGCAAUCGCUACU
rnacentral:lncRNA from 1 species